rnacentral:rRNA from 1 species
GAGGAAUAUUGCGCAAUGGGGGAAACCCUGACGCAGCGACGCCGUGUGAGCGAUGAAGGCCUUCGGGUCGUAAAGCUCUGUCAGAGGGAAAGAAAGGGUCGGAGGAAUAAUACCCUCCGGCAUUGACGGUACCCUCAGAGGAAGCACCGGCUAACUCCGUGCCAGCAGCCGCGGUAAUACGGAGGGUGCAAGUGUUAUUCGGAAUCACUGGGCGUAAAGAGCACGUAGGCGGAUUGGUAAGUCAGGUGUGAAAUCCCGGAGCUCAACUCCGGAACUGCAUUUGAUACUGCUAGUCUUGAGUGAGGUAGAGGGGGGUGGAAUUCCCGGUGUAGAGGUGAAAUUCGUAGAUAUCGGGAGGAACACCAGAGGCGAAGGCGACCCCCUGGGCCUCUACUGACGCUGAGGUGCGAAAGCGUGGGGAGCAAAC